rnacentral:tRNA from 1 species
GCCUUCGUGGUGUAAUGGUAGCACACUCGGUGUGUAUUCGAGAGGUCCGAGGUUCGAGUCUCAGCGAGAGCA